rnacentral:rRNA from 1 species
UACGGGGGGUGCGAGCGUUGUCCGGAAUCACUGGGCGUAAAGGGCGCGUAGGUGGCGUCGUAAGUCUGUGGUGAAAGCCCGGAGCUCAACUCCGGGUCUGCCGCGGAUACUGCGAGGCUUGAGUGCUGUAGAGGGGGGUAGAAUGCCGGGUGUAGCGGUGGAAUGCGUAGAUAUCGUGAGGAAGACCAGUGGCGAAGGCGAUUCUCUGGGCAGUUCCUGACACUGAGGCACGAAGGCUAGGGGAGCAAACGGG